rnacentral:rRNA from 1 species
UGGGGAAUUUUGGACGAAUUGGGGCGAAAGCCUGAUCCAGCAAUGCCGCGUGUGUGAAGAAGGCCUUCGGGUUGUAAAGCACUUUUGUCCGGAAAGAAAUCCUUGGCUCUAAUACAGUCGGGGGAUACGGUACCGGAAGAAUAAGCACCGGCUAACUACGUGCCAGCAGCCGCGGUAAUACGUAGGGUGCAAGCGUUAAUCGGAAUUACUGGGCGUAAAGCGUGCGCAGGCGGUUUGCUAAGACCGAUGUGAAAUCCCCGGGCUCAACCUGGGAACUGCAUUGGUGACUGGCAGGCUAGAGUAUGGCAGAGGGGGGUAGAAUUCCACGUGUAGCAGUGAAAUGCGUAGAGAUGUGGAGGAAUACCGAUGGCGAAGGCAGCCCCCUGGCAAGUACUGACGCUCAUGCACGAAAGCGUGGGGAGCAAACGGA